rnacentral:rRNA from 1 species
GUGGGGAAUCUUAGACAAUGGGGGAAACCCUGAUCUAGCCAUGCCGCGUGAGCGAUGAAGGCCUUAGGGUUGUAAAGCUCUUUCAGCUGGGAAGAUAAUGACUGUACCAGCAGAAGAAGCCCCGGCUAACUCCGUGCCAGCAGCCGCGGUCAUACGGAGGGGGCUAGCGUUGUUCGGAAUUACUGGGCGUAAAGCGCACGUAGGCGGACCGGAAAGUCAGAGGUGAAAUCCCAGGGCUCAACCUUGGAACUGCCUUUGAAACUCCUGGUCUUGAGGUCGAGAGAGGUGAGUGGAAUUCCGAGUGUAGAGGUGAAAUUCGUAGAUAUUCGGAGGAACACCAGUGGCGAAGGCGGCUCACUGGCUCGAUACUGACGCUGCGGUGCGAAAGCGUGGGGAGCAAACAGGAUUAGAAACCCCAGUAGUCC